GGACGGCUCUUUAAAAUCGCCCUCUCUUGCUUGAGGCAGAUUUUAAGAAAAUGUGAUUGGAAAUAGAUUAAAGUUAAAACAAUUUCUGCGCUAUUCCCGCUUUUAUAUAUGGUAUAAUUGUUUCUAAAUUCACAAGGGCACGUAAGAAAUUGGAAGGUAUAAAUUUAUGCCUCAAAAGAAUAAUGUAACGCUAUGAGGUCACUAAAGCUAAUUAGCCGAAGCUGGAAAGAAAUGUCUUUCUACAAUAUGCCGACAAAACUCAUUGCUAGAAAAUCACACCACUGGCAGAACAGACAUCCGGUCCCUUGAACUGUCCCUUUAAGGCAGCAGAACCUGGAAUGCAAACUAGAAAACCAUCAUUUUCCUGUUGAGCAAAAACAAGAAAAGAUCUCAAACCGAAAAAUACUUAGAUUUUCUUUCAAUCUUUGAUGCCGGCCAAAGAAAUUGACACAAAACUACUGCAAGUAGUAAGUGGGACUUUUACACAGUAAGGCAAUGGCUUAUAGAAGCUGAAUAUUCGUUCCAAUUAAUCCACUGUAGUCAAAUAUUUAACUAUCACUAUGAAGGUUGAGAGCUGCAGAAAACAAUUAUUAUAAUCUUUUGCCCGUCCCACUAGAAAUUUGGUGUAUAACAUGUACUCCUGUAAGAGAAACGUAUGAAUCAGGGUAUUGUCUGGUAACAUGCCUUUCUUCGAUUUUAUUGCAACAAUGAAUUUUGAUGCAUUUGUUUCAAUCAACUAAUAUGUCGAACAGUGUUGUUAAAGGCGUAUUUGAGGCAGGUUUAGAGAUUAGACCGUAAAACUAGGGGUCACAUGUCAGGCACUUCAUUUAGCUUAGAAAAGCUUUGGUGGAGGUACUAAGUAUAAGGGACCACGUCCCUCUAGUUAAUCAAAACAAUAACAUUGUACUACACACCAGAGAGUUGGAAAGUAAAAUGAGACUUGAAGUGACCAAUCAAGUAGACAAAUAAAUUGCUUAAUAAUUUUUUCCAGGAAAAUCAAUUGCGAUUACAGUGUUGCAGAAAUUUAUUUCUCACCUUAAGAACGAAUUACAUACAACUGGAACCAUAUGUCUUGGCUGAACCUAAUGACGUGGUGUAAGAACUGCAAAAGCAUCAACAGAAAAAAGUAUGGAUGAGAAAAAGAGAGAACAAUGGCAACAUCAAUAACCAAAAAAUAUGCAACAAACAGUGAUGAUAGAGAAGCCUGAAAAUAAGCUGAUGAAGAAUUGCAGGCAACUGCCCGAAUUUAUGCAAAGAAAAUAAACAAGGUGGGCCACUUGUAGCAACAUUUCAAGCUCAAAUGAUAAAGAUGUCAAGAGUAGAAAUUACUAUUGAGCCAGGUACCCAAGAAAGCAUGAUAAAGAAUCAAUUGCUUAAACCUUCCCACACGGAAGAAGAACAACUCCAAAUGCUACAUUGUUUGUCUU
rnacentral:lncRNA from 1 species